rnacentral:rRNA from 1 species
UACGAAGGGGGCUAGCGUUGCUCGGAAUCACUGGGCGUAAAGGGUGCGUAGGCGGGUCUUUAAGUCAGGGGGGAAAUCCCCGGGCUCAACCCGGGAACUGCGUCCGAUACUGGAAGGCUUGAAUCCGGGAGAGGGAUGCGGAAUUCCAGGUGUAGCGGUGAAAUGCGUAGAUAUCUGGAGGAACACCGGUGGCGAAGGCGGCAUCCUGGACCGGUAUUGACGCUGAGGCGCGAAAGCCAGGGGAGCAAACGGG